UACGUAGGGUGCAAGCGUUGUCCGGAAUUAUUGGGCGUAAAGCGCGCGCAGGUGGUUUCUUAAGUCUGAUGUGAAAGCCCACGGCUCAACCGUGGAGGGUCAUUGGAAACUGGGGAACUUGAGUGCAGGAGAGAAGAGUGGAAUUCCACGUGUAGCGGUGAAAUGCGUAGAGAUGUGGAGGAACACCAGUGGCGAAGGCGGGUCUCUGGGCCGAUACUGACGCUGAGGAGCGAAAGCGUGGGGAGCGAACAGG
rnacentral:rRNA from 1 species